AUUGAACGCUGGCGGUAGGCUUAACACAUGCAAGUCGUGCGAGAAAGUAUCUUCGGAUAUGAGUAGAGCGGCGGACGGGUGAGUAACGCGUAGGAAUCUACCUAGUAGAAGGGGAUAGCCCGGGGAAACUCGGAUUAAUACCGUAUACCUCCUUCGGGAGAAAGAAGGCCUCUCUUUGAAGCUUUCGCUAUUAGAUGAGCCUGCGUAAGAUUAGCUUGUUGGUGAGGUAAAGGCUCACCAAGGCGACGAUCUUUAGCGGGUCUGAGAGGACGAUCCGCCACAUUGGGACUGAGACACGGCCCAGACUCCUACGGGAGGCAGCAGUGGGGAAUAUUGGACAAUGGGCGCAAGCCUGAUCCAGCCAUACCGCGUGUGUGAAGAAGGCCCUAGGGUUGUAAAGCACUUUAAGUUGGGAAGAAAAGUUAUUGGUUAAUACCCAAUAACCGUGACAUUACCAUCAGAAUAAGGACCGGCUAAUUCCGUGCCAGCAGCCGCGGUAAUACGGAAGGUCCAAGCGUUAAUCGGAAUUACUGGGCGUAAAGCGCGCGUAGGUGGUUUAUUAAGUUGGAUGUGAAAUCCCCGGGCUCAACCUGGGAACUGCAUCCAAAACUGAUUCACUAGAGUACGAUAGAGGGAGGUAGAAUUCACAGUGUAGCGGUGGAAUGCGUAGAUAUUGUGAAGAAUACCAAUGGCGAAGGCAGCCUCCUGGAUCUGUACUGACACUGAGGUGCGAAAGCGUGGGUAGCGAACAGGAUUAGAUACCCUGGUAGUCCACGCCGUAAACGAUGUCAACUAGCUGUUGGAAAACUAUGUUUUUCAGUGGCGCAGCUAACGUAGUAAGUUGACCGCCUGGGGAGUACGGCCGCAAGGCUAAAACUCAAAUGAAUUGACGGGGACCCGCACAAGCGGUGGAGCAUGUGGUUUAAUUCGAUGCAACGCGAAAAACCUUACCUAUACUUGACAUACUUGGAAUGCUUUGUAAUGAAGCAGUGCCUUCGGGAGCCAAGAUACAGGUGCUGCAUGGCUGUCGUCAGCUCGUGUCGUGAGAUGUUCCGUUAAGUCGGAUAACGAGCGCAACCCUUACCCUUAUUUGCCAGCGAUUCGGUCGGGAACUAUAAGGGGACUGCCGGUGAUAAACCGGAGGAAGGUGAGGACGACGUCAAGUCAUCAUGGCCCUUACGUAUAGGGCUACACAUGUGCUACAAUGGAGAAUACAGACGGACGCUAAGCCGCGAGGUGGUGCUAAUCCUAGAAAAUUCUUCGUAGUCCGGAUUGGAGUCUGCAACUCGACUCCAUGAAGUCGGAAUCGCUAGUAAUCGCGAAUCAGCAUGUCGCGGUGAAUACGUUCUCGGGUCU
rnacentral:rRNA from 1 species